AGCAACAUACAGCUAUUUCGGCUGCUGUCCCUUUCCCAGAGCUGUUCUGUACUCCUGGUGAGACAGCGGCAGGAAGGCUCAGCAGAUGAAGCAGCUCUCUGAAGUGGUCAGCAGGACCAGGAGGAUGCACAUGGCAGUGCCUUUCUUUUCCUGCUUUCUUUUCGUGUCGUGUGUGCCCAUCUGCACUGGGGCAGGGGAGGACCAGCAGUUCUGCCAAGGAAGCCUGGAAGGUCUUCAAUCCCAGCAACUUGGAGCUGGACCACAUCCUUUUCCUCCUUCCUCUUGUCUCAGGAUGUUUUUGCUCCCUGCUGUGACCGUGACUGUGCCAGAGAGGAAGUGCUGGAGAUCUGUAACACCCCCAACACAGAAUCCAGAUGUAUUCACAGGCCACAGGACAGCUAAGGCUGGAAGGUACCUGCAGAUGCCAAUCCCAUCCAACCCCCUUGCUCAAGCAGUGUCAGCUAGAGCAGGCUGCUCAGGACUAUGUCCACUUGGGUUUCAAGUAUCUCCAUAGAUGGAGGCAGCACAGCCUCUCUUGGCAACCUGUUCCAGCAUUAGAUCACCUCCACAGUAAAAAAUUAUUUUUCUUA